rnacentral:misc_RNA from 1 species
AAGAAGCAUAGAGUAAAAGUGCAUACAAGGCAACAAUUGAACAAUGCAAAAGAUUUAAGGGACUGUUUAAUUUGCACAUUGGAAUUGGAAACAAUAUCAGAAUAGGAAUCAAACGGAAUUGGAAACGGAAUGGUGAAUUUUCAUUUAUGUUUGAUUCACUGUGAAAUCGAAAUCAGAUUCCUUUUCAAGGUGUUUGAUUCGUAUAUAUAAGAUGCAUAAUCGAAAU